rnacentral:tRNA from 1 species
GCCUAGUUAGCUUGGUUGGUAGCGCGUCUGCCUUGUAAGCGCUAGGUCGCGGGUUCGAUUCCCGUGCGGGGCG